AACGUAGGACGCAAGCGUUAUCCGGAGUUACUGGGCGUAAAGCGCGGGCAGGCGGUCGUUUAAGUCUGAUGUGAAAGCUCCCGGCUCAACCGGGAGAGGCCAUUGGAAACUAGACGACUGGAGGGCAGUAGAGGUCGGCGGAAUUCCGGGUGGAGUGGUGAAAUGCGUAGAGAUCCGGAGGAACACCAGAGGCGAAGGCGGCCGACUGGGCUGCACCUGACGCUGAGCCGCGAAAGCCAGGGGAGCGAACGGGAUUAGAAACCCUUGUAGUCC
rnacentral:rRNA from 1 species